rnacentral:lncRNA from 1 species
GGCACUACCUAGCAGAUCUGCAAUUGUAAGAUUCUAGACAGCUUCUGUUUCCAUGGACUUCAACCAUCUACAAUUGGGUCUGACUUGUUCCAGAAGUGGACCUCCUUAUCUGUUUUUCUUUCUUUGUUGGCUAAUGUUUUCAUCCCCCAAGCAGGGUUGGGCAAUCAAGUUCCAUGCAUAAUGAGCAGUUUAAAACCACGAAGGAGAAAGGGUGACAGACACAAGGAUUGUGGCAGACAGGCCCCGGUGUUGAUUGAAUAUGUGAAUGCAGACCCAUGGAUACAUAGAGCCUACUCUGGAUGUGUAUAUGUAGAUCGUGUAUAUUCAAGAAGUAAAAUCAAAGAUAAUUCACAAAAGCCAAAGCUAAAUAUUGUCCCUGAAGGGAGAAGAGGGUUCUACUUAACUCUUCACAACCAGCAUGAAGGAGGCUGGAGAGAAGGAAAGAAGGCUGAAAGGAAGGAUCUAGACCCCUGAGGAGCCUGAGGACAUGGUAAAACAAUAAAGGACU